UACAGAGGGUGCGAGCGUUACUCGGAAUUACUGGGCGUAAAGCGUGCGUAGACGGCUAUCUAAGUCGGGUGUGAAAGCCCCGGGCUCAACCUGGGAAUUGCAUUCGAGACUGAAUAGCUAGGGUACGGUAGAGGGAAGCGGAAUUUCCGGUGUAGCGGUGAAAUGCGUAGAUAUUCGCAAGAACACCAGUGGCGAAGGCGGCUCACUGGCCCGAUACUGACGCUGAGGCACGAAAGCGUGGGGAGCAAACAGG
rnacentral:rRNA from 1 species